rnacentral:lncRNA from 1 species
AUGUUCUACAUCUUUAUUUUCAUAAUUCCUGGACACAUAUUGUUCAUAAAUAGAAAAUAUUUACAAAUACAUAGAUGACAUAUAUUGAAGAUAUAACUGUAAAAUAGUACAGUACAAUAAAGUACUUUUAAUAUGUUGUCUACCUUCAGAAUAAAAUAAUGUUUAACAUGUUACCAAAAUUCUAAGAUGGAAAUGGAAGAAUACAUUUAGGUCAUGUUUGGUCAACUUGAACAAAAUUAAUAAAGCAUAAUGUAUUAUAGUGUACCCUUCUUUAACUACAGUAAACCUGCUGCUUACAUCAUUUAAGGAUGCACAAAUACAAAAUAUAACAAACUUAGAUGAACCUGCAAAGUAAGUUGUUAAAUUAGCAUUUCUUUUAAGGACUUUCUCAUGACUAAGGAAACAAUGUAGGUAUGCCUAACAUAGGCAGAUCUUUCUUCUAAAACUUCAAUGAUAUUAACUAAUUUCUAAUGUUAAGUGUUUUUUGAGGGAGAUGUGCGGUUUUCAAUUUUUUGAAAGGUAUUUUAAUUUCAAAAGUUUCGGAUAUAUAAACUUUCCCCAAUUGAAAACCAGGAUUUUACUGGAAAAGUCCAGGUAUGAAAAAAAGAUAUGAAAUGAUUUUUCAAACAUUUGUCAAAGGAUGUUUUUAAAAAAAAAUCCAAUUUUGUGAACAUUUAUAAUUC